rnacentral:rRNA from 1 species
CAGUAGCCACGGUAAUACGAAGGGUGCAAGCGUUACUCGGAAUUACUGGGCGUAAAGCGUGCGUAGGUGGUGGUUUAAGUCCGUUGUGAAAGCCCUGGGCUCAACCUGGGAAUUGCAGUGGAUACUGGAUCACUAGAGUGUGGUAGAGGAUAGUGGAAUUUCCGGUGUAGCAGUGAAAUGCGUAGAGAUCGGAAGGAACAUCUGUGGCGAAGGCGACUAUCUGGGCCAACACUGACACUGAGGCACGAAAGCGUGGGGAGCAAACAGGAUUAGAUACCCGGGUAGUCCCUGUCUCUUAUAA